GGAAAGGCGCGCGAUACAGGGUGACAGCCCCGUACACAAAAAUGCACAUGCUGUGAGCUCGAUGAGUAGGGCGGGACACGUGGUAUCCUGUCUGAAUAUGGGGGGACCAUCCUCCAAGGCUAAAUACUCCUGACUGACCGAUAGUGAACCAGUACCGUGAGGGAAAGGCGAAAAGAACCCCGGCGAGGGGAGUGAAAAAGAACCUGAAACCGUGUACGUACAAGCAGUGGGAGCACGCUUAGGCGUGUGACUGCGUACCUUUUGUAUAAUGGGUCAGCGACUUAUAUUCUGUAGCAAGGUUAACCGAAUAGGGGAGCCGAAGGGAAACCGAGUCUUAACUGGGCGUUAAGUUGCAGGGUAUAGACCCGAAACCCGGUGAUCUAGCCAUGGGCAGGUUGAAGGUUGGGUAACACUAACUGGAGGACCGAACCGACUAAUGUUGAAAAAUUAGCGGAUGACUUGUGGCUGGGGGUGAAAGGCCAAUCAAACCGGGAGAUAGCUGGUUCUCCCCGAAAGCUAUUUAGGUAGCGCCUCGUGAAUUCAUCUCCGGGGGUAGAGCACUGUUUCGGCAAGGGGGUCAUCCCGACUUACCAACCCGAUGCAAACUGCGAAUACCGGAGAAUGUUAUCACGGGAGACACACGGCGGGUGCUAACGUCCGUCGUGAAGAGGGAAACAACCCAGACCGCCAGCUAAGGUCCCAAAGUCAUGGUUAAGUGGGAAACGAUGUGGGAAGGCCCAGACAGCCAGGAUGUUGGCUUAGAAGCAGCCAUCAUUUAAAGAAAGCGUAAUAGCUCACUGGUCGAGUCGGCCUGCGCGGAAGAUGUAACGGGGCUAAACCAUGCACCGAAGCUGCGGCAGCGACGCUGAUGCGUUGUUGGGUAGGGGAGCGUUCUGUAAGCCUGCGAAGGUGUGCUGUGAGGCAUGCUGGAGGUAUCAGAAGUGCGAAUGCUGACAUAAGUAACGAUAAAGCGGGUGAAAAGCCCGCUCGCCGGAAGACCAAGGGUUCCUGUCCAACGUUAAUCGGGGCAGGGUGAGUCGACCCCUAAGGCGAGGCCGAAAGGCGUAGUCGAUGGGAAACAGGUUAAUAUUCCUGUACUUGGUGUUACUGCGAAGGGGGGACGGAGAAGGCUAUGUUGGCCGGGCGACGGUUGUCCCGGUUUAAGCGUGUAGGCUGGUUUUCCAGGCAAAUCCGGAAAAUCAAGGCUGAGGCGUGAUGACGAGGCACUA
rnacentral:rRNA from 1 species